AGGUGGAGGUGAUGGGGAGGAAGCUAAAUUAGGACCAGUUCAAUUUCCUUCUUGGCCAACUGGAUGUGGAUUUGAAACUGACCACAUUUGAUUUAAGGAAAUAAGAGAUGUGACCACUCUGACUCCCCAAAUUGUGGAGUUAAUUCAACUUAUUUCGUGGAUGUUAAAUGGGGUGGCACAAGUACCUCUGGUCCUAGGGAGACCUCUUUUAAGUUCUUCUAUCUGUUAAGCUGAUUCCUUUGUUAUAAGAGCUGGAAUCUCCAAGAGGCCAGAUGUGCUGGGCCUCACAACCAAUGAUGCAAUGGACAGCCUGUGGCUGAAGGGGGAGCCCUUCUAAAGCACCAGCUUGGGCCACAGCUGCCAUGUCUAGGGGCAGCAAGUCACCAGCUCCUAUCGCUCUGCCAGGGCACCCUUCCUCAUCUCCUCUAGAGUUACCUCCUCCCCUCUCCCCGCAAGGAGGGUCUUCAACACGGAGUUCCCCAGAGCAAGGGAUGAUCUCAGCGGGAGAGGGGAUCCAUCAUGCAAGAGGCCAGCAGUUUUCACCCGGCUCUGCUAAGACUUUAGGAGAGUCAUUUCGCCACUCUGAGCCUCAGUUCUCAUAUAAGAUAGAAGACCAUACAAGGUUGUUGAGAACUACAUGAAAUUAAAUUCUGUACAAGAUGAAAAAAUGCCCUCUGACUGAGUGUUCCUGAGGGCAUGGGACAUGUUCUUCUUAUCUUUGUCCCCUACUGCUUUGUAGGGGGCCUGAUGAAUGGCAAACUCUUAGUUCAUGUUUCCUGGAGGCAUGAAUGAGUGGAGGAGUGAAGAAUAAUGUCUGCAACACGGUGGGAACACAAAGUUUGAUUUAAUUUUCAUGUGCUCUAAGGCUGAAUUUCUCAAUUGUAUUCCCCAGAGUAUUACUGUUCCUUGAAGGAUCGAUAGGAAAAAGUCACGGUGAAGGACUAUUCUAUAGUUAAAUAAUUUUGGAAUAUGGGGGCCCUUGGAGCUUCCCAAUAUUAGUUAUUCAGUACACUUUUACUGAGCAUCUACUGUAUGUCUGGCACUGUUCUGGGUGUGGGGGACAAAUAGAGCUGUCA
rnacentral:lncRNA from 1 species